rnacentral:rRNA from 2 species
GAUUCGUCACACUAUCAUUAACUGAAUCCAUAGGUUAAUGAGGCGAACCGGGGGAACUGAAACAUCUAAGUACCCCGAGGAAAAGAAAUCAACCGAGAUUCCCCCAGUAGCGGCGAGCGAACGGGGAGGAGCCCAGAGCCUGAAUCAGCAUGUGUGUUAGUGGAAGCGUCUGGAAAGGCGCGCGAUACAGGGUGACAGCCCCGUACACAAAAGCGCAUGUGCUGUGAGCUCGAUGAGUAGGGCGGGACACGUGGUAUCCUGUCUGAAUAUGGGGGGACCAUCCUCCAAGGCUAAAUACUCCUGACUGACCGAUAGUGAACCAGUACCGUGAGGGAAAGGCGAAAAGAACCCCGGCGAGGGGAGUGAAAAAGAACCUGAAACCGUGUACGUACAAGCAGUGGGAGCACCCUUCGGGGUGUGACUGCGUACCUUUUGUAUAAUGGGUCAGCGACUUAUAUUCUGUAGCAAGGUUAACCGUAUAGGGGAGCCGGAGGGAAACCGAGUCUUAAUUGGGCGUUAAGUUGCAGGGUAUAGACCCGAAACCCGGUGAUCUAGCCAUGGGCAGGUUGAAGGUUGGGUAACACUAACUGGAGGACCGAACCGACUAAUGUUGAAAAAUUAGCGGAUGACCUGUGGCUGGGGGUGAAAGGCCAAUCAAACCGGGAGAUAGCUGGUUCUCCCCGAAAGCUAUUUAGGUAGCGCCUCGUGAAUUCAUCUCCGGGGGUAGAGCACUGUUUCGGCUAGGGGGCCAUCCCGGCUUACCAACCCGAUGCAAACUGCGAAUACCGGAGAAUGUUAUCACGGGAGACACACGGCGGGUGCUAACGUCCGUCGUGAAGAGGGAAACAACCCAGACCGCCAGCUAAGGUCCCAAAGUCAUGGUUAAGUGGGAAACGAUGUGGGAAGGCCCAGACAGCCAGGAUGUUGGCUUAGAAGCAGCCAUCAUUUAAAGAAAGCGUAAUAGCUCACUGGUCGAGUCGGCCUGCGCGGAAGAUGUAACGGGGCUAAACCAUGCACCGAAGCUGCGGCAGCGAACGUAUCACCCAAGACAACUUUACGGAGUUGACGAUUGACGGAGCGAAGCGACGUCAAAGCGUUCAUUAAAGUCGAGUUGGCUUAGGGAUACGUUCGUUGGGUAGGGGAGCGUUCUGUAAGCCUGUGAAGGUGUGUCGUGAGGCAUGCUGGAGGUAUCAGAAGUGCGAAUGCUGACAUAAGUAACGAUAAAGCGGGUGAAAAGCCCGCUCGCCGGAAGACCAAGGGUUCCUGUCCAACGUUAAUCGGGGCAGGGUGAGUCGACCCCUAAGGCGAGGCCGAAAGGCGUAGUCGAUGGGAAACGGGUUAAUAUUCCCGUACUUGGUGUUACUGCGAAGGGGGGACGGAGAAGGCUAUGUUGGCCGGGCGACGGUUGUCCCGGUUUAAGCGUGUAGGUGUGUGUUCCAGGUAAAUCCGGUUCACUUUAACACUGAGGCGUGACGACGAGGCACUACGGUGCUGAAGCAACAAAUGCCCUGCUUCCAGGAAAAGCCUCUAAGCAUCAGGUAACACGAAAUCGUACCCCAAACCGACACAGGUGGUCAGGUAGAGAAUACCAAGGCGCUUGAGAGAACUCGGGUGAAGGAACUAGGCAAAAUGGUGCCGUAACUUCGGGAGAAGGCACGCUGACAC